UGGCUCUGCCCUCGAUGAAGAACGCAGCGAAAUGCGAUACGUAAUGCGAAUUGCAGAUCUCCGCGAGUCAUUGAAUCUUUGAACGCACCUUGCGCCCGCCGGAUUUCUCCGGCGGGCAUGCCCGUUCGAGCGUCAUAUCCCUCCCCGAGCGCCCGCUCGGCGUUGGCGUGCCGCGGCUGCCGCGGACGCCCAAAGCUAGUGGCAGAGCUUGCAGACUUGGCGGCGCAGUAGGAAAGCCCGAGCCUUGUUGCCCGGGUCUCCGCCGCGAAGCCUGUGCGCAUCUAGCCGUAAACACCACGUGCUGCAAGGCGCGACACAGUGGACCUCGGAUCGGGUAGGAGUACCCGCUGA
rnacentral:misc_RNA from 1 species